ACGUAGGGUGCGAGCGUUAAUCGGAAUUACUGGGCGUAAAGCGUGUGCAGGCGGUUCGCUAAGACAGGUGUGAAAUCCCCGGGCUUAACCUGGGAAUGGCGCUUGAAACUGGCGAGCUAGAGUACGGUAGAGGGGGGUGGAAUUCCAGGUGUAGCAGUGAAAUGCGUAGAGAUGUGGAGGAACACCGAUGGCGAAGGCAGCCCCCUGGGCCGAUACUGACGCUCA
rnacentral:rRNA from 1 species